rnacentral:tRNA from 1 species
GGGGCUGUGGCUCAGAGGUAGAGUGCUCGCCUAGCAUGUGUGAGGCACUGGGUUCGAUCCUCAGCAUCACA